rnacentral:tRNA from 1 species
AAGUAAGAAGCAAUAAUUUGCAUUUAAUUUCGACUUAAAAGAUAGAGUUUAUUAUACUCCUUAUUUA